CCUACGGGAGGCAGCAGUGAGGAAUAUUGGUCAAUGGACGAGAGUCUGAACCAGCCAAGUAGCGUGAAGGAUGACGGCCCGAUGGGUUGUAAACUUCUUUUAUAAAGGAAUAAAACGAGGCACGUGUGCCUUUUUGCAUGUACUUUAUGAAUAAGGAUCGGCUAACGCCGGGCCAGCAGCCGCGGUAAUACGGAGGAUCCGAGCGUUAUCCGGAUUUAUUGGGUUUCAAGGGAGCGUAGAUGGGUUGGUAAGUCAGUUGUGAAAGUUUGCGGCUCCACCGUAAAAUUGCAAUUGAUACUGGCAGUCUUGAGUACAGUUGAGGUCGGCGGAUUUCGUGGUGUAGCGGUUACCUGCUUAGAUCUCACG
rnacentral:rRNA from 1 species